GACGAACGCUGGCGGCGUGCUUAACACAUGCAAGUCGAACGGAAAGGCCCUGCUUUUGUGGGGUGCUCGAGUGGCGAACGGGUGAGUAACACGUGAGUAACCUGCCCUUGACUUUGGGAUAACUUCAGGAAACUGGGGCUAAUACCGGAUAGGAGCUCCUGCUGCAUGGUGGGGGUUGGAAAGUUUCGGCGGUGGGGGAUGGACUCGCGGCUUAUCAGCUUGUUGGGGGGGUAGUGGCUUACCAAGGCUUUGACGGGUAGCCGGCCUGAGAGGGUGGCCGGCGACAUUGGGACUGAGAUACGGCGCAGACGCCUACGGGAGGCAGCAGUGGAGAAUAUUGCACAAUGGGCGGGAGCCUGAUGCAGCAACGCCGCGUGCGGGAUGACGGCCUUCGGGUUGUAAACCGCUUUCGGCUGUGACGAAGCGUGAGUGACGGUAAUGGGUGAAGAAGCACCGGCUAACUACGUG
rnacentral:rRNA from 1 species